UAAAAAUCAAAAUAAAAGGAGAGUAGUUCUUACAGGCAGAAACUCUUAGAGCUCACAAAUUGGAAACAACUGCAAACUUCAGAGUAAAUUCAUAGCUUCCAAAUACAAAUGUUCACAUUGUCCCUCCGCUAUUUUUACACAAAUGCAUUCAGGUGAAGACAGCAACACACAUUGGGAAAGGACAUCUGCUUCCUAUUUUAGUCCCAGAAUCACUUUUGCUUCUAGUCCCAACUGUUCCCUCUCCC
rnacentral:lncRNA from 1 species